GGAGUCUGGACCGUGUCUCAGUUCCAGUGUGGCUGGUCGUCCUCUCAGACCAGCUACUGAUCGUCGCCUUGGUGAGCCUUUACCUCACCAACUAGCUAAUCAGAUAUCGGCCGCUCCAGGAGCACAAGGCCUUGCGGUCCCCUGCUUUCAUCCGUAGAUCGUAUGCGGUAUUAGCGUAACUUUCGCUACGUUAUCCCCCACUCUUGGGCACGUUCCGAUAUAUUACUCACCCGUUCGCUACUCGUCAGCGGAGCAAGCUCCCUGUUACCGUUCGACUUGCAUGUGUAAAGCAUGCCGCCAGCGUUCAAU
rnacentral:rRNA from 1 species